rnacentral:rRNA from 1 species
GACGAACGCUGGCGGCGUGCCUAAUACAUGCAAGUCGAACGCAGUGGGGACGGGUGAGUAACACGUGGCUAACCUCCCAUCAGAGGGGAUAACACUUGGAAACAGCUGCUAAACUGAUACUGAUGGAUGUAGCCGCGGUGCAUUAGCUAGUUGGUGAGGUAACGGCUCAACAAGGCCACGAUGCAUAGCCGACCUGGGAGGGUGAUCGGCCACACUGGGACUGAGACACGGCCCAGACUCCUACGAGAGGCAGCAGUGGGGAAUCUUCGGCAAUGGGCGAAAGUCUGACCGAGCAACGCCGCGUGAUUGAAGAAGGUUUUCGGAUCGUAAAACUCUGUCGGUAGAGAAGCGGUACCUAACCAGAAAGCCACGGCUAACUACGUGCCAGCAGCCGCGGUAAUAC